CAGUAGCCACGGGAACACGAAGGGGGCUAGCGUUGUUCGGAAUUACUGGGCGUAAAGCGCACGUAGGCGGAUACUUAAGUCAGGGGUGAAAUCCCGGGGCUCAACCCCGGAACUGCCUUUGAUACUGGGUAUCUCGAGUCCGGAAGAGGUGAGUGGAAUUCCGAGUGUAGAGGCGAAAUUCGUAGAUAUUCGGAGGAACACCAGUGGCGAAGGCGGCUCACUGGUCCGGUACUGACGCUGAGGUGCGAAAGCGUGGGGAGCAAACAGGAUUAGAUACCCCUGUAGUCCCUGUCUCUUAUAC
rnacentral:rRNA from 1 species